rnacentral:rRNA from 1 species
AUUGAACGCUGGCGGCAGGCCUAACACAUGCAAGUCGAGCGAGCGGCGGACGGGUGAGUAAUGUCUGGGAAACCGCCUGAUGGAGGGGGAUAACUACUGGAAACGGUAGCUAAUGCCGCAUACCAUCCGAUGUGCCCCGAGUGGCUUAGAUAGUAGGUUGGGUAACGGCUAACCUAGGCGACGAUCCCUAGCUGAGCGGAGAGGUUGAACAACUGAACUGGAACGAGGACACGCUCCAGACGCGUACGGACGGCAGCAGUGGGGAAUAUGGCACAAUGGGCGCAAGCCUGAUGCAGCCAUGCCGCGUGUGUGAAGAAGGCCUUCGGGUUGUAACGCACUUUCAGCGGGGAGGCGUUACCCGCAGAAGAAGCACCGGCUAACUCCGUGCCAGCAGCCGCGGUAAUUC